rnacentral:rRNA from 1 species
ACGGGUGAGUAACACGUAGGUAACCUGCCCAGAAGCGGGGGACAACAUUUGGAAACAGAUGCUAAUACCGCAUAACAACGUUGUUCGCAUGAACAACGCUUAAAAGAUGGCUUCUCGCUAUCACUUCUGGAUGGACCUGCGGUGCAUUAGCUUGUUGGUGGGGUAACGGCCUACCAAGGCGAUGAUGCAUAGCCGAGUUGAGAGACUGAUCGGCCACAAUGGGACUGAGACACGGCCCAUACUCCUACGGGAGGCAGCAGUAGGGAAUCUUCCACAAUGGGCGCAAGCCUGAUGGAGCAACACCGCGUGAGUGAAGAAGGGUUUCGGCUCGUAAAGCUCUGUUGUUAAAGAAGAACACGUAUGAGAGUAACUGUUCAUACGUUGACGGUAUUUAACCAGAAAGUCACGGCUAACUACGUGCCAGCAGCCGCGGUAAUACGUAGGUGGCAAGCGUUAUCCGGAUUUAUUGGGCGUAAAGAGAGUGCAGGCGGUUUUCUAAGUCUGAUGUGAAAGCCUUCGGCUUAACCGGAGAAGUGCAUCGGAAACUGGAUAACUUGAGUGCAGAAGAGGGUAGUGGAACUCCAUGUGUAGCGGUGGAAUGCGUAGAUAUAUGGAAGAACACCAGUGGCGAAGGCGGCUACCUGGUCUGCAACUGACGCUGAGACUCGAAAGCAUGGGUAGCGAACAGGAUUAGAUACCCUGGUAGUCCAUGCCGUAAACGAUGAGUGCUAGGUGUUGGAGGGUUUCCGGCCCUUCAGUGCCGGAGCUAACGCAUUAAGCACUCCGCCUGGGGAGUACGGACCGCAAGGUUGAAACUCAAGGGAAUUGACGGGGGCCCGCACAAGCGGUGGAGCAUGUGGUUUAAUUCGAAGCUACGCGAAGAACCUUACCAGGUCUUGACAUCUUGCGCCAACCCUAGAGAUAGGGCGUUUCCUUCGGGAACCAAUGACAGGUGGUGCAUGGUCGUCGUCAGCUCGUGUCGUGAGAUGUUGGGUUAAGUCCCGCAACGAGCGCAACCCUUGUUACUAGUGCCAGCAUUAAGUUGGGCACUCUAGUGAGACUGCCGGUGACAAACCGGAGGAAGGUGGGGACGACGUCAGAUCAUCAUGCCCCUUAUGACCUGGGCUACACACGUGCUACAAUGGACGGUACAACGAGUCGCGAACUCGCGAGGGCAAGCAAAUCUCUUAAAACCGUUCUCAUUCGGACUGCAGGCUGCAACUCGCCUGCACGAAGUCGGAAUCGCUAGUAAUCGCGGAUCAGCAUGCCGCGGUGAAUACGUUCCCGG